rnacentral:rRNA from 1 species
UACGUAGGUGGCGAGCGUUAUCCGGAAUUAUUGGGCGUAAAGAGCGCGCAGGUGGUUGAUUAAGUCUGAUGUGAAAGCCCACGGCUUAACCGUGGAGGGUCAUUGGAAACUGGUCGACUUGAGUGCAGAAGAGGGAAGUGGAAUUCCAUGUGUAGCGGUGAAAUGCGUAGAGAUAUGGAGGAACACCAGUGGCGAAGGCGGCUUCCUGGUCUGUAACUGACACUGAGGCGCGAAAGCGUGGGGAUCAAACAGGAUUAGAUA